GGGUCGAGCGGCGGCCAGUGGGACGGCCGCCACGGAUGGACCCACCGACGAAGUCCGCUCUCACGGAGAGCUGCCCCGCGCCCCCGGCGGAGCAGC
rnacentral:ncRNA from 1 species